ACUCAAAUGAAUAGACGGGGACCCGCACAAGCGGUGGAUGAUGUGGAUUAAUUCGAUGCAACGCGAAAAACCUUACCUACCCUUGACAUGCCCGGAAGCUCGCAGAGAUGUGAGCGUGCCCGAAAGGGAGCCGGGACACAGGUGCUGCAUGGCUGUCGUCAGCUCGUGUCGUGAGAUGUUGGGUUAAGUCCCGCAACGAGCGCAACCCUUGUCACUAGUUGCUACGAAAGGGCACUCUAGUGAGACUGCCGGUGACAAACCGGAGGAAGGUGGGGAUGACGUCAAGUCCUCAUGGCCCUUAUGGGUAGGGCUUCACACGUCAUACAAUGGCCGGUACAAAGGGCUGCCAACCCGCGAGGGGGAGCCAAUCCCAGAAAACCGGUCGUAGUCCGGAUUGCAGUCUGCAACUCGACUGCAUGAAGUCGGAAUCGCUAGUAAUCGCGGAUCAGCAUGUCGCGGUGAAUACGUUCCCGGGUCUUGUACACACCGCCCGU
rnacentral:rRNA from 1 species